GGGCCCGCACAAGCGGUGGAUUAUGUGGUUUAAUUCGAAGCAACGCGCAGAACCUUACCUAGGCUUGAAAUCCUACGAAUCUGGCCCAAAAGCCGGAGUGCCCCUCGGGGAAUGUAGAGACAGGCGCUGCAUGGCUGUCGUCAGCUCGUGUCGUGAGAUGUUGGGUUAAGUCUCGCAACGAGCGCAACCCCUAUCUUUAGUUGCCAGCAUUAAGUUGGGCACUCUAGAGAGACUGCCUGGGUUAACCAGGAGGAAGGUGGGGAUGACGUCAAGUCCUCAUGGCCCUUAUGCCUAGGGCUACACACGUAAUACAAUGGUUGGUACAGAGGGAAGCGAACUCGCGAGGGGAGCAAAUCUCAAAAAGCCAAUCUCAGUCCGGAUUGGAGUCUGCAACUCGACUCCAUGAAGUUGGAAUCGCUAGUAA
rnacentral:rRNA from 1 species